CACGGGUGAGUAACACGUAUCCAACCUGCCGUCUACUCUUGACAGCUUCUGAAAGGAAGAUUAAUACAAGAUGGCAUCAUGAGUCCGCAUGUUCACAUGAUUAAAGGUAUUCCGGUAGACGAUGGGGAUGCGUUCCAUUAGAUAGUAGGCGGGGUAACGGCCCACCUAGUCUUCGAUGGAUAGGGGUUCUGAGAGGAAGGUCCCCCACAUUGGAACUGAGACACGGUCCAA
rnacentral:rRNA from 1 species